AAAGUCGUAACAAGGUUUCCGUAGGUGAACCUGCGGAAGGAUCAUUAGAGAAUAAACUUGGGUGGUGGUUGACGUCGGAAGACAAGACCCUGCCUAUAUCCACACACCUGUGCACUGUAGAGCCUUGACUUCUGUCGAGGUUCGCCCUUUAUACAAACAUAGUAGUCAUAAACGUGACGUCUUAUUAUAACCUAAUAAAACUUUCAACAACGGAUCUCUUGGCUCUC
rnacentral:misc_RNA from 1 species